GUGGGGCUGUAGCUCAGUGGCAGACUGCUUGCCUAGCAUGUGAGAGGCACUAGUUCAAACCUAAGCACCACA
rnacentral:tRNA from 1 species